UCAACCUGGGAACUGCGUUNUGAACUGGGUGACUAGAGUGUGUCAGAGGGAGGUAGAAUUCCACGUGUAGCAGUGAAAUGCGUAGAGAUGUGGAGGAAUACCGAUGGCGAAGGCAGCCUCNUGGGAUAACACUGACGUUCAUGCCCGAAAGCGUGGGUAGCAAACAGGAUUAGAUACCCUGGUAGUCCACGCCCUAAACGAUGUCGAUUAGCUGUUGGGCAGCAUGACUGCUUAGUAGCGAAGCUAACGCGUGAAAUCGACCGCCUGGGGAGUACGGUCGCAAGAUUAAAACUCAAAGGAAUUGACGGGGACCCGCACAAGCGGUGGAUGAUGUGGAUUAAUUCGAUGCAACGCGAAGAACCUUACCUGGUCUUGACAUGUACGGAACCCUCCAGAGACGGAGGGGUGCCUUCGGGAGCCGUAACACAGGUGCUGCAUGGCUGUCGUCAGCUCGUGUCGUGAGAUGUUGGGUUAAGUCCCGCAACGAGCGCAACCCUUGUCAUUAGUUGCCAUCAUUAAGUUGGGCACUCUAAUGAGACUGCCGGUGACAAGCCGGAGGAAGGUGGGGAUGACGUCAAGUCCUCAUGGCCCUUAUGACCAGGGCUUCACACGUCAUACAAUGGUCGGUACAGAGGGUAGCCAAGCCGCGAGGUGGAGCCAAUCUCACAAAACCGAUCGUAGUCCGGAUUGCACUCUGCAACUCGAGUGCAUGAAGUCGGAAUCGCUAGUAAUCGCAGGUCAGCAUACUGCGGUGAAUACGUUCCCGGGUCUUGUACACACCGCCCGUCACACCAUGGGAGUGGGGGAUACCAGAAGUA
rnacentral:rRNA from 1 species